rnacentral:rRNA from 1 species
AUUGAACGCUGGCGGCAGGCUUAACACAUGCAAGUCGAGCGGAGAUGAGGUGCUUGCACCUUAUCUUAGCGGCGGACGGGUGAGUAAUGCUUAGGAAUCUGCCUAUUAGUGGGGGACAACAUUCCGAAAGGAAUGCUAAUACCGCAUACGCCCUACGGGGGAAAGCAGGGGAUCUUCGGACCUUGCGCUAAUAGAUGAGCCUAAGUCGGAUUAGCUAGUUGGUGGGGUAAAGGCCUACCAAGGCGACGAUCUGUAGCGGGUCCGAGAGGAUGAUCCGCCACACGGGGGAUAAGACACGGCCCAGACUCCUACAGGAGGCAGCAGGGGGGAAUAUUGGACAAUGGGCGGAAGCCUGAUCCAGCCAUGCCGCGUGUGUGAAGAAGGCCUUUUGGUUGUAAAGCACUUUAAGCGAGGAGGAGGCUACCUGGAUUAAUACUCUAGGAUAGUGGACGUUACUCGCAGAAUAAGCACCGGCUAACUCUGUGCCAGCCGCCGCCGUAACAC